rnacentral:rRNA from 1 species
UACGUAGGGGGCAAGCGUUGUCCGGAAUCAUUGGGCGUAAAGAGCUCGUAGGCGGUGUGUCACGUCGGCCGUGAAAACCUGCAGCUUAACUGUGGGCGUGCGGUCGAUACGGGCAUCACUGGAGUUCGGCAGGGGAGACUGGAAUUCCUGGUGUAGAGGUGAAAUUCGUAGAUAUGGGGAGGAACACCGGUGGCGAAGGCGACCAUCUGGACGGAUACUGACGCUGAGACGCGAAAGCGUGGGUAGCAAACAGG